UGAUAUUCCUGUACCACCUAUAAUCGUUUUAAUCGAUGGGGGGACGCAGUAGGAUAGGCGAAGCGUGCGAUUGGAUUGCACGUCUAAGCAGUAAGGCUGAGUAUUAGGCAAAUCCGGUACUCGUUAAGGCUGAGCUGUGAUGGGGAGAAGACAUUGAGUCUUCGAGUCGUUGAUUUCACACUGCCGAGAAAAGCCUCUAGAUAGAAAAUAGGUGCCCGUACCGCAAACCGACACAGGUAGUCAAGAUGAGAAUUCUAAGGUGAGCGAGCGAACUCUCGUUAAGGAACUCGGCAAAAUGACCCCGUAACUUCGGGAGAAGGGGUGCUCUUUAGGGUUAACGCCCAGAAGAGCCGCAGUGAAUAGGCCCAAGCGACUGUUUAUCAAAAACACAGGUCUCUGCUAAACCGUAAGGUGAUGUAUAGGGGCUGACGCCUGCCCGGUGCUGGAAGGUUAAGAGGAGUGGUUAGCUUCUGCGAAGCUACGAAUCGAAGCCCCAGUAAACGGCGGCCGUAACUAUAACGGUCCUAAGGUAGCGAAAUUCCUUGUCGGGUAAGUUCCGACCCGCACGAAAGGCG
rnacentral:rRNA from 1 species